AGAAAGAUAGAAUAAACUGUAUGGGAUUCCAAAAGUUGCGCCGAGAAUGAUACGCGAACUAAGAAUCUCAUCCCUUUUUCUUCCUUCCUUUUUUUCCCUUCUUUUUUCCUUUCUUGCCGUCUUUCACCUUCU
rnacentral:ribozyme from 12 species